UGGGGAAUUUUGGACAAUGGGGGCAACCCUGAUCCAGCCAUUCCGCGUGAGUGAAGAAGGCCUUCGGGUUGUAAAGCUCUUUCAGCAGGAACGAAACGGUACGCGCUAACAUCGUGUGCUAAUGACGGUACCUGCAGAAGAAGCACCGGCUAACUACGUGCCAGCAGCCGCGGUAAUACGUAGGGUGCGAGCGUUAAUCGGAAUUACUGGGCGUAAAGCGUGCGCAGGCGGAUUGUUAAGCAAGAUGUGAAAUCCCCGGGCUUAACCUGGGAAUGGCAUUUUGAACUGGCAGUCUAGAGUGUGUCAGAGGGGGGUGGAAUUCCACGUGUAGCAGUGAAAUGCGUAGAGAUGUGGAGGAACACCGAUGGCGAAGGCAGCCCCCUGGGAUAACACUGACGCUCAUGUACGAAAGCGUGGGUAGCAAACAGG
rnacentral:rRNA from 1 species